rnacentral:lncRNA from 1 species
UUAUUCUACUAACUCUCUCUCUCUCUCUCUCUCUCUCUCUCUCUCUCUCUCUCUCUCUCUCUCUCUAUGUGUGUGUGUGUGUGUGUAUAUAUAUAUAUAUAUAUAUAUAUAUAUAUCUCAAUUCGUUCUCUUUUGGAGGUGACGCACAAACGCUGAAGUUAAGCAAGAAUUGAGAGCAAAAUAGCAAGGCAUUUUGCAAACAAUUUCUGUGUGAUACAAGUGCGCAAACCUGAAGCUACGUGAAACAGAUAGAAGAACCAAUUCCAAGUGUCUGUCUUUUAUUCUAGUUUUAUUGUAGUAGGACUUCUGAGUUGUACCUUUCAGCUGUCUCUAGAAAUAUUUGUACUAGGUACUCUGAGUGUGUUAUUCAAAUUAGAGUUAACUUGAAAUUGUCGCAACAGCCUGCGGCUGGUGGCCACAAAGGGUUAGAGGUAAUCCUUAGGUUUACAAAAAUUUUGUAAACGUUGUUUUGGCUCAGUGAUUUAGUAAAGUAUUGGAAAUAUCUUACUGGGUAGUAGGUCGUAAUUUUUUCACCUUUUGAGCCAGGUGUUUUUCACGUAAAAAUACUUGUGUUCUUUAUUUUCUGCAUUUAUUAUUCCUCCAUUGUAGUAUAAAGAACACAUAGAAGAACCAUGUCCUUUUAUAAUUUGUGCACGCGAAAAAUUGAAGACCACACAAAUCAUCCUCCCCCCUCUUGUGUGGUAUUCAACUAUAAAAAAUCAAUUGGUAUCAGAUCAGGUUAUCCUUGAAGAGGCUAACACUUUAACAGAAGAUCAAAAUGAGUUCACCACCUGAAAAUUACAAUCCACUGCUAAGCCACCACUCUUUAAUGACCAGUACUACUCUUGGUGGAAGUCAAGAAUGAGAGAUCACAUUUAGGGAGAGGACUAUGAGCUUUGGAACAUUAUCAUUGAUGGUCCACUAGGUACUUUGAAGAAAAAUGCUGAAGAAGUAGAUGUGCCAAAGGCAAGAGCUGAUUGCAAUGCUGAGGAUCUGAAGAAGUGAGGAAAAAAAUGCCAAAUCCAAGAAGUGGCUUGUUUGUCGAAUUGGUCCAGAUGAGUACAACAGAAUCCAAGGUUGUUCCACUGCUAAGCAAAUUUGGGAGAAACUGUAAAUGGCCCGCGAAGGAACAACCCGGGUGAUAAGAUAUAGAGGAACUUUACUGCAUUCUGAGUAUGAAAAGUUUGCUAUGAAGGAUGGAGAAAUCAUUUAGGAUAUGUACGGAAGGUUCAUUACAUUGACAAAUAAACUAAAAUCUCUUGGAAGGAUUAUCCCUGAAGAAGAAAAAGUUGAGAAAAUACUUACUAGGAUAUUGCCAUUUACUUGGGAAAGCAAGAUCACUGACGUCCAGGCCUCAAAGAAUAUUUUCACUGUCCAUCUAGAUGAGUUGAUUAGGAAUCUCACAGCAUAUGAACUUAGGAGACAAACCAUAUAAAUGGAUGUACCUAAGAAGUAAAAGGGUUUGGCACUCAGAAUCACUUAUGGUUUUGAUCUGGAAGAUGAUGAAAUGGCAAUGAUCACCAAAGACUUCAAGAAGUACUUAAGGAGAGGAAAGGUUUCUUCAAGAAGUAGAAUCUACAGUAAGGCAAGAGCUCCGGAGAAGCAAACUAAUAAUGGCUACUAGAAGUGUGGAAAGACUGAUCACAUGAUCAAAAACUGUCCUUUGUGAAAAAUUGAAUGGAAGGAGGAAAGAGCUGAAUGAAGGAACAGGAAGCCGGAAUAGGUUUAUCCCAAGAAAGGCAACAACAAAGGAUCAACCAAAACUAUGGUCGAUACUUGGGGAGAAAGCCCAGAUGAAACCUCAGAUGACUCAAAUGAUGAUGAUGAUGAACGAGCAAUAAUGGCUAUUGGAGAAUUGAUGAAGAAACUGGGGUAAGUGUCUUUCAUCUCAAAGACAAGAUUAAAUUUUUGUCUAAAGAAAGAUUAUCUGAAUUAUUACUACAGCUGAUUGAUAAAUCUGAGGAUGUGAACAAUGAAAAAGAAAAACUGUCAAAAGAAAGUGUGAUUUUAAAGCUAAGUGCAAAAACCUAGAACUUAGGGCUUGUGAAACUGAAAGUGAAAAUAAUGUGUUGAAGAACUAGGUUCAUGCACUUGAUACAAUUGUCCUAGAACUUAGAUUUGAAAAUCUAAAUUUGAAAUUAGCAACUGGAAAAAAAAUAGCUGGUCAUACACAACUCACUUUAGAAGAAAAUAUAGGAAAAAUAAAAUAUGAGUUGUAUAAGAGAGAUGAACUGGUAAGAGUCUUAAAGGAGGAUCUAAACAAGGUCAAGCAUGAGCUAGACAGAACUUGUAAAUAAAAUAGGUCAUCUGAUGCAUUUUCAUGGCUACAGGAACACCAUAGUAGCAACAGAAGAAGACUUUGCUUUGGGAACUCUGCACCUUAGUGGGAUCCCAAAAGAAAGUACCUCACACUCCCUCAAAAUAAGAUUUGUAUACACUGUGGAAACACUGGUCACUACAAGAGUGAUUGCAUUGCAAAAGCAAAAGCAGAUCAAAAGAACAAAAAAUUGUUUUAGGGAAAAAUAGACUGCCAAGUUGGGCUAAAGAGAACUUGAUAUAUCCUUUUGCCUAUAGAAAGGGACCCAAACUAGUUUGGGUUCCUAAGACUAACCCGUGAUAUCUUUUUGCAGGUCCAAGUAAAGGGGAGCAGCCAAAUAUUGUACAUGGAUAGUGGCUACUCAAAUCACAUGACAGGAAACAAGAACGAGUUCCUUUCACUUGAGGACCUUAAAGGAGGUAAUGUCUCCUUUGGAAAUAGAAAGAAAGGUGAGAUCAUUGGGGUUGGAAAGGUAGGUAAGGCUGAUUCUCACUCUAUUGAGAAUGUCUACUUGAUUGAUGUACUGAAAUAUAGUCUAAUAAGUGAAUCACAACUGUGUGAUAGAGGUAACAUGGUAGCAUUCACCUCUACAAAAUGCUUUGUAAUUAAUUUUACCACUGAUAAGAUAGUUUUGUAGGGAAAAAGAGUGAAUAACAUAUAUGUGGUGGAUCUAUCCACACUUUCAGAUAAUGAACUCACUUGAUUAAGUAUGUUGGAUAAUGAUUCCCUCAUUUGGCACAAUAAACUUGGACAUGCCACUCUAAGCCAAUAAAACAAACUAGUAUCCAAGGACUUGGUGGUAGGGUUGCCUAAUAUUAAGUUCAAGGAAGAUAAAGUUUGUGAUGCUUAUGCAAGGGGGGAGUAGGUAAGAUCCCUUUUUAAAAUCAAGAAAAUAGUAAGCACUACCAGGACAAUAAAACUGGUCCAUAUGGAUCUUUGUGGACCAAUGAGAACAUUGAGCAGAAGUGGUAAGAGAUAUGUUAUGGUACUUGUUGAUGUUUACUCUAGGUUUGCUUGGACAUUGUUUCUGACAUCUAAAGAUGAAGCAUUUGACAUGUUCACAUCAUUUGUUAGAAAAGCUCAGAAACAACUAGGUAAUCAACUUGCAUAAAUUAGGUCGAAUCAUGAUACUGAAUUUGAGAAUGCUAAAUUUGCUGAAUUUUGUGAUGAGCAUGACAUAGAUCAUAACUUUUCUGCUGCUAGGACUCCACAACAAAAUGGAGUAGUUGAAAGAAAGAAUAGGACUUUGGAGGAAAUGGCUAGGACUAUGCCACUUGCUAGUAAAUUACCCCACGGUUUCAAGACAGAAGUUGUGAACACUACAUGCUACAUCAUAAAUAGGUGCAUGACUAGACCUCUUGUUGAUAAGACUCUCUAUGAGUUACUUAAAGGGAAAAAACCAAAUAUAUCCCAUCUUAGGGCAUUUGGAGGCAAGUGCUUUGUGCACAUUAAUGGAAAAGACUCCCUAGGUAAGUUUGAUCCCAGAAGUGAUGAAGUGGUAUUCUUGGGAUAUUAUUCACAUAGUAAAGCUUAUAAAAUCUAUAACAAAAGAACUAUGUGUGUAGAAUAAAAUAUACAUGUGAUUUUUUAUGAAACUAACAUUCUUUCUAAGAGGCAGGAAUAGGAUGGUGAAGGAAUUCGGCUGGUAGGAAACUAAAAUGAAAACACAGCCCAGACUGAAGCUGCACCAGAGGAUGGAACAUGUCCUUCCACCCAGGGCAACCUGAUAGGGGGAACUAAACAGAGAGGAACUUGUCCUCAAAUCUCGAGGGAAUCUAUCCAUGAACUUGUUCCUCAGCAACAAAACAUUGGAGGAACAUCUAAGAAAAACUAGCUGGAUGUGAAACCUUACAAGUAUCAAAGUUCUCAUCCCAUUGGGAACAUAAUCACUGAUCCAACCUCUGGAAUCAAAACCAGAUCUUCUUUGAAGAACCUCUGUGCUUUUGAAAUUUUUUAUCUCUUAUUGAACCUAAAAAUGUUAUUAAGGCUUUUUAGGAUGCAGACUGGGUGAAUGUAAUGCAAGAUGAACUCAACCAAUUUUAGAGAAGUCAAGUUUGGCAUCUAGUACCAAGACCCAAGGAUAGAUUAGUAAUUGGCACAAAAUGGGUCUUCAGAAACAAACUUGAUAAAUAUGGAACAGUUACAAGGAACAAGGCAAGAUUGGUGUUUCAAGAAUAUAGUCAAGAGGAGGGCAUAUACUAUGAUGAGACUUUUGCUCCAGUUGCAAGAUUGGAAGCAAUUAGACUUAUAGCCUUUGCUGCUUACAUAGAAUUCACUCUCCGUCAGAUGGAUGUCAAGUGUGCCUUCCUCAAUGUCUAUCUAAAAGAAAAAGUGUUUGUCAAGCAACCUCAUGGCUUUGAAAGCAAGGAAUGUCCUGAUCACGUGUACAAACUUGACAAGGCACUUUAUGGGCUCAAGCAGGCUCCAAGAGCACGGUAUGAAAGAUUGUCUAAAUUCUUGCUUGAGUAUGGUUACAAGAGAAGUAAAAUGGACAAUAUUUUGUUCUUGAAUUAAAAGGGUAAAGAUCUCUUGGUUGUUCAGAUAUAUAUUGAUGAUAUAUUCUUUGGAGAAAAAAUAAAUAGGUUAUGUAAAGAAUUUGCUAAGCUAAUGGGGAGUGAAUUUGAAAUAAGUAUGAUGGGUGAGCUUAAUUUUUUUUUAGGCUUACAAAUUAAACAAAAUUCAAAUGGAACUAUGAUCCAUCAGUAGAAGUAUGUGAAAGAGUUGCUUAAAAGGUUUAAAAUGGAAGACUCCAAAGAAAUUGACAGUCCUAUAGAAAUAACCACAAAAUUAGAUAUAGAAGAACCUGGUUCAUCUGUUGAUCAGAUGAUGUAUAGGGGAAUGAUUGGCUCUUUAUUAUAUCUCACUACUAGUAGACCUGACAUUGUUUUAAGUGUAGGCCUUUGGGCUAGAUUUCAGGCAAAUCCAAAGGAGUCUCACUUGACUGUUGUCAAGAGGAUAUUUAGAUACCUAAAAGGCACCACUGAUCUUUACCUAUGGUACUCAAAAUGCAGUAAUUUCAACUUAGUGGGUUAUGUUGAUGCUGAUUAUGUAGGUUUUCUUGUGGAUAGAAAUAGCACUUCAGAUAUGGAACACUUUUGUGGCUCAUGUUUUGUUUCUUGGGCUACCAAAAUGCAAAAUGUUGUGUCCUCAUCUACUGCUGAAGUUGAGUAUGACUACUGACUCAUGUUGUGCUCAAUUGUUGUAGAUUAAACUACAGUUAAUGAACUUUAAAAUUGAUGUAGGUUGUAUCCCCAUGUUUUGUGAUAAUACCAGUGCAAUUAGUAUGACCAAGAACCCGGUUCAUCACAAAAGAACUAAGCACACUGAUGUUAGGAAUUACCUUUUGAGGGAUAAAUUUGAGAAAGGUUUGAUUUAUGUGGAAUUUUGUGCUACUGAAAAGCAAAUAGUUGACAUCUUCAUAAAGCUCUAAGUAGAGAUCACUUUGAAAGGAACAAGUUAGAAUUAGUGAUGAUUAGUAUCACCUAAAAUGAACCAGUUCUAACUCAAUAAUUGGUUAGAAAAUUUAUGAAUUUUGUAAAUAAUUCGAUUAGAUUUUGCUCAGUCUCAUAGUUUCACUGGUAUACUCUUGUGCCAUGUACUAAAAUGUCUCAUUAAUCUCUAAUGAAAUUAUCUUUAUUUUCUUGGAAAAUUCAUACUUACAGAAGAGAAUUCUCAGUGAAGAACCUGGUUCAUCAAGAUUACAUGGUAUGUACUCUCCAGUCCGCAUAUUUUGAAAUAAUUAUAUUCGGAUCAUGAUAAAAAAGUAAGUCCCAUUUAAUCCCAAUCUACCCCAAGUUUAUCUGUUACAAACAAAUCAGUUUCACCUAAAAGGAUUCCUACAUGCCAUUAUUACCCAGAUUCUAGGGAAGAGUCCAACGUCCAUUCAAACUGACUUUCCCAGUUUGAUUAUAAUUCUGAACUUCAAAAGGCAACUGUUACCCACUCCAACUCUCCCUCUUUAAAUUGACUACGCCUUAACCAUUUCUUCACUUCUAAUUUUUCAGCCGCCAAAAUUCUCUUUAUCUUCUCUCAUCUCUUCUACACACAUCUACUCUACUCACAUCAAUGGCAAACUCAUCUGAAACCCUUCUUCACCACCCAAAAAAUUAUCACCUAUACCCUCGACCGCACCAUCAACCACACAUAUUUCUAAUAAAGGAAAGUUCAAGAUGAUUGCCCAUAAGACAGUCGCUGGCAGUGAACAAAUCAAGAAAAUAAAUGAGAAAUUGAAAGCAAGACAAGAAGAACCCCAAAAAUCAGAAUGAUCUUUCAAGUUUGCAACCGAGGGGAAAGAAACUGUUUCAGUUGAAACAAAACGGGUAACCUCUGGUCUAAAUAUUGCUUCUGAGGUCAUUUUUGAAGUGGCUGAAAAUUUGAAAAAUAAAUUUGUUCUAGUUGGUACGAUUGUUACGGUAGAAACUACUAAGUCUAGUAUAGUUGGUGGUAAAAAUAAAAAGAAAAAAAAAGUGAGGGUGUUCAAGUAGAUGUAAAGGAAAAGAAAAAAGAAGAAAUGAUUGAAUCUUCACCUACUCCUAUUGAGUUGGUUGAGGAAACAUGGGCAAUGGUGUUAUGGAGUGAGGAAGCUGUUGAGGAGGAAGAAAAUUAGAGAGAAUAAGGAAGUAGCAGUUCUGGAGUUACAGGUGCAGCUGAGGGGCUGGUUAGGUUGAGGAAGAGGUUCCAAGAACCUGUUCCAUCUAUGAAGGAACCCCUCAAAGAGUUAUUGAAAAAGGUGUCUGAUAGCUACAAUACAAAGAAGAAGAAGAAGAAGAAAAGUUUAGGAGUUAAAAUCCCUGGAACUGCUAGGGCACACCAGAAGAGAAAAUUUGCCUCUUCUAUCCUUGUAGAGAAUCUUUCCACAAGAGGAAGAGAUAAAAUGAGUCAGAAGAAGCAGAGCGGGGCUCAACUUGAAAUAGCCUUAGAAGAGAGUAAAAGAAAAGUUGAUGCAAAGGGGGAAAAAAGAAAGUGAGUGAACCUGUUGAGGCCAUUGAGAUUGAGGAGAUGGACCUAGUCCUUCAUGAUGAAGACAAGACAUAGGGGGUGGAGGUUGUGACUCCAAAAGCAAUGAAAGGAAGGACUUCUAAAGGGAAGUCUCCUUCAAAGCUUGCUGAUGUAUAGCCUGCUGCCUUGGCAAAAAGAACCAGGUCUACCAGAAAUUCUAGGAAAGUGCAAGUAGUGGAAGAAGAGGAAAGUUAAGAAGAAGAGGAAACUGACGAGGAACAAGACAAAAUGAUGAAGUUUGGAAAGAGAACAAUCUUGAAGGGAGACUUCUCAGGGACUUGGAAGAGGAAGGAAUGGUGAUGCUGCUGGAGAAGCUAGAACUUCAGGGGUGGAAGGACUUGGUCCUUUAAAUGGAAGGAAGAGUAGCCCGAGCAAAAAUUGUGGAGUUUAUGGCUAACAUGAGAUCAAGAACGGUAGGGUCACCAGUGUAUUGGAAGGGGUGACUAUGAGUUUUGAUGCCAAGGAACUGGGAGAAAUUCUAGGGGUACAUACUGAAGGGUACAAUGACUACAAGAAGCUGAAAUGGCCAAGCCUAGAAAACCUACCCACCUACAUUGCCAUUACAAGAAAAUUUGCUGACAGUGACUUUGAGCUACAACCCAAGGCUGUGUACAAAAGAGAGAGAUGAAGCUUGCCCACAAGCUGCUUUUUGAAUUUGUCAACAAGGUUGUUCUGCCCAGGCAGAGAGAAGGCAUAUUGCAACUUUCAUGGACCCCGUCCUUAUGGAGUACCUAGAUAGUGGAAGGCAGAUCAACUGUAUAUGGUUUAUCAUAAAGCUCUUUGAUAGGGUACUCACCGGCACCAAAACUCAUUCCAUACCCUAUGGGUUCAUUCUCACUGUUGUGCUUGCUCACUUCAAGGCUCCCCUCAAGAAAUGGGAUGUUAGCAUAAGAAAAGAUCACUUUGGGGUCAACACCUUAACUGUAUGUGACUAUGAAGUCUAUACUGCUCCCAAAGAAACCGGUUCAUCCAAGAGGGCGCCUGUGAACAAUAAAGUGAGAGCCUUGGUGCAGGAGAGUGGGGAUAAGGAUGUUGAGAUUGAGAGGUUGAAGAAGCGGUUAGCUGAAGUAGAAACUGAGAGGGAUGCACUUAGAACUGAGCUUGCAAAGGAAAAGGAGAAGAAUGAAUGCAUUCUUCAUGACAUGUUAAAGCUUCUUCAGGCCAGAAACCAAGAACUUGGUCCUACCCAGCCUUGAAACCUUACUUGCCUAGUUAGAAAAUAGUGACCCGGAUGGGAUUGUUUUUUGUCUUUUUGCUCAUGAUACAGUACCUUUAUUUCUUUCUAUACUUUGUGGAUGACUCUUAUUAAUGAUAAUCAACUGCCUUUGUUCUAAUUAUUUGUUGAUGCUUCUUAGAUGGCUAAUAUCCUUAGAUUGAUAAGUGAUACUUGACUCCAUUAUUACAUUUGAAGUAGCCUAAAUGGCCAUGAGUAAGAUCUGCUAAAAUUUGAUUAUCUAACAUAAUUAUGCAGCUUUUCGAUGAUGCCAAAAAGGGAAAGAUAGGUUGUGCUUUUACUUUGGACUGUAAUGUUUAUAACCUAAUUAACCUGGUCCUUAAUAAUUUGUGACUUUAAAAUGAAAAGUGUUUUACUAUUGUGAUGAUGUGAAGCUGAGUUGCAACAUGUUUCAUCCUUGUGAAAUGAAUUGAGUUUGUCAUCAUCCAAAAGGGAGAAUUUGUUGGCGUGAGUAAGUUUGUUUUGAUGAUUGACAAAGAAACACAUGCAUGAACCAGGUCCAUACACAAUAAACACAUGGCACAUGCAGAUUCAAGCACAAGGCAUGGACGUAAAGGAGAUAAGCAUAAAUGGUUAUAUUUGAUAUCUCUUGAACGAAAAGGUUUCAUAAUUGAUAAGGAGCAUGACUCCUUGCUUGAAGAGAACUCUAUCCAAGAUAAGGGAAGAGUAAGAAGAUGAAGAUAACUAGAACUCUUCCACUAAGGAAGAGUAUAUCAUUAGAGCUCUAGUUAUUUCUCAUUCUACUAACUCCAUAUAUAUAUAUAUGUCGGCUCUCUUUAGCAGGUGACGCACAAACGCUAAAGCUUAACUAGAAUUGAGAGCAAAAUAGCAAGGUAUUUUGCUAGCAAUUCAUGUAUUAUUCUGUGACGACCCGGUCGGUCAUCUUGAGAGUUAUAGCCCCGAUUCCUGAUUAACUAUUUUUCCCGUAUCCUUUUCUUCUAUCGUGACAUGCCGGGAUGUUUCAUUUUGGUUUUUGGAGUGUUUUGGGACACUUAAUCCCUAAAUGGAGGCUUAAGUCUUAGGAUUUGGACUGUAGUCGGAACUGUGUGAAGACGACUCCGGAAUGGAGUUCCGUCAGUUCCGUUAGCUCCGUUAGGUGAUUUUGGACUUAGGGGCGUGUCUGGAUAGUGUUUUGGAGGUUUGUAGCUCAUUUAGGCUUGAAAUAACGAAACUCGAAGUUUUGGAGAUUUGAACCGGUAGUGGAAUUUUGAUACUGGGGUCGGAUUCCGAUUACGGAAGUUGAAAUAGGUUCGUAGGGUUGAAUAUGACCUGUGUGCAAAAUUUGGGGUCAAUCGGACGUGGUUUGGUUAGUUUCGGCAUCGGUUGUCAGAUUUGGAAGUUUCAAGUUCUUUAAGUUUGAAUUGGAGGGCGAUUUGUGAUUUUAGCAUUGUUUGAGGGCUCGACUAAGUUUUUAUGGUUUUUUAAGACUUGUUGGUAUGUUUGGUUAAGGUCCCCUGGGCCUUGGGUUGAUUUCGGAUAGUUAACGGAUCAUUUUGGACUUGUGGAAGAUAGCAAAUUUUUUGGUGUUUUGUUGCAGACUUUUUCUUAAUCGCGUUCGCAAGAGAGGUCUCAGGAUCACGUAGAUUGGUCAGGCUAUGCAUCGCGAAUGCGUGGGCUAGGCCGCGUUCGCGAAGCGGAAGUAAAGAAGCAGUGGAAUUCAAGUGUUGUUCUUCGCAAACACGUAGGGUUGUUCGCGAUCACGUAAGUGUGAGAGCCAAUGAAUUGCGUUCGUGUUACAUUUUUCGCAUUUGCGUAGGGUUAAAUUCUGGAGCAGCGAAGUUGUGGUUCGCGAUCGCGAGGCUAUUUUUGCGAUCGCGAUUAAGGAAUCACUAUGCAGUAUUAAACAUUUAAAAAAUAAGGGUUUGGCCAUUUUUAUCAAAACUUGAGUUUGGGAGCCGGAUUUGGACGAGAUUUUGGGGGAUUUUCAGGGACAUCGAUUGGGUAAUGAUUCUACACUCUAUUUUGGUCAUAUCCCACUAAUCAAUCAUUAAUUUCAGAUUUUAGGGUUGAAAUUUUGGGAAAAAUUGGGAGAUGUUCUUCAACUAAGAUUUCGAGUUUUGAAAGGGGAUUCGUGGUCAGAUUUGAGAUUUUAUAUGGUUGGACUCGUGAGUGAAUGAGUGUUCAUAUUUUGUGACUUUUACCUGAUUCCAGGAUGUGGGCCCGUGGAGGCAUUUUGGGUCGAUUUCCUAAUUUCUCGCUUUAGCUUAGAUUUCAUUGACUAGAUUAGUUUCUUAUAGCUAUAUUUAUGGUAUGUAAUUGAGUUUGGCUAGAUUUGGGCCAUUCGGAGCCGGAUAUUCGUGGGAAGAGCAUUGUUACCGACUGAUUUAGCUUGGUUCGAGGUAAAUGGCUUUCCUAACCUUGUGUGGGAGAAAUUCUCUUAGGAUUUGGUGCUGAUUUUAUUAUGUGAGCGUCGUGUGCGCGAGGUGACAAGUGCGUACACGUGCUAUUUGUUGAAAAACCUGAUUUUUACUGAGAAAUUCCUUGUUUCCACCUUAAUUAAAUAUACUAGCAUGCAUAGUUACCAUGUUAGAUUAGAAUAACAUGUCUACGUGCCUUAUUUUCUUAAUUGAACUCUUUCCAGCAUGCCUAUUGAAUUCAUGUUUCUUUCCCGACUUGUACUUAGUCUAGACUGUAGAUUCUCUUGUUGUACUUGUGGUUUGUAAUUGAUUGCGUUGUGUAUUUACUUUGGGAUUACAGGACAGUAUCCCGAGAGAUCCCCGUGCAUAUUUACUUUUGGGACUACGGGAUAGUAUCCCAGGAGAUCCCCCUGCAUAUUUACUUUUGGGACUACGGGAUGGUAUCCCGGGAGAUCCCCCUGCAUAUUUACUUUUGGGACUAUGGGACGGUAUCCCAGGAGAUCCUCAUGCACAUUUACAUUGAGACUACGAGGUGGUACCUCGGGAGUUCUCCCUGCAUAUUUACUUUUGGGACUACGAGACGGUAUCUCGGGAGAUCCCCUAUCUCUUAAUUCCGUGCACUGUUAUGUUAUUUCACUAUUCUUUCCUUUGUUGAACUUUAGUCUCUUACUAUACUACUUAUUCUCUUGUUUUUAUUAUUAUAUACUAGUGGGCCUAACCUGACCUUGUCACUACUCGACCGAGGUUAGGCUCGACAUUUACUGGGUACCGCUGUGGUGUACUCACGCCCUUUCCUGCACAUAUUUUUUUCGUGUGCAGAUCCAGGUUCAUUUUACCAGCCUAGUCCUUAGUUGCAGUCGUUGCUAUUUCGGAGAACUUCAAGGUACAUCUGCCCAUGCCCGCAGAUCCUUGGAGUCCCCCUCUAUCUCCCUAUGUUGAUUCUUCUCUUAUUUCUAUAGACACUGAUGUAUAGAACAGUUAGAACUUCGUAGAAGCUUGUGACUUACGGUGUUUCGGGUCUUGGGAGUGUCAUGUAUAUUUUGAGAGUUGAUUAUGUAUAUGCCGAGCGGCAUCUCAAUUGCUUAUUAAAAUAUCUGUUAUUGUUAGUUGUUAAUUUUCAUGUUUUUCAUCUCAUUUCUGCAAGUGUUAGGCUUACCUAGUCUUAGAGACUAGGUGUCGUCACGAUGAUUCACGGAGGGGGAAUUUGGGUCGUGACAAGUUGGUAUCGGAGCUCUAGGUUCAUAGGUGUCGUGAGAUAUAAGCCGAUUUAUUAGAGUCUCGUGGAUCGGUACGGAGACGUCUGUACUUAUCUUCGGGAGGCUAUGGAACUGUUAGGAACAAUCAUACUUCUUUUGAUUCCUUGUCGUGCGAGUUAUUGGCAUCAAAUUCUAAAAAUUCUCUAUUGUAUUCUUUCUCAUAGAUGGUGAGGACCCGUACCGGAGGAUCUAAUGACUAGGCACUCGUGCCCCCUACUAGAGCCGCCAGAGGCCGGGGCAGGGGUAGAGUAUGGCCACACGGUGCAGCCAGAGCACCCGCGCGAGCUACGAUAGAGGAGCCCCUAGUAGAUCCUUCUAGAGGGCAGGCACCGGAGAUUCCUAUUGUUCUACCAGCCCUCCAGGAGACUCUAGCCCAGUUCAUGAGCAUGUUCAGCACCUUAUCUCAGGCUGGAUUGAUUCUGUUAGCUCCCGCCACAUCUCAGGCCGGGGGAGGGACACAGACUCCCGCAACCCAUACUCCAGAGCAGAGGGUCCAGGUUGAUCAAGCCCCAGAGUUCAUUCUUAUUCCGUCGGUAGCUCUGGUUCAGCACGAGACUAGGACAGCCGCUUCUGAGGUAGAGCAGCUCAGACUUGAGAGGUACAAGAAGUACCACCCAUCUACGUUCUGUAGAUUGGCUACAAAUGAUGCUCAAGGUUUUCUGGAGGAGUGUCAUUGUAUUCUCUAUAAUAUGGGCAUAGCGGAGACGAGUGGGGUUUCUUUUACCACUUUCCAUCUUAAAGGAGCAACCUAUCAGUAGUGGUGUGCUUACGAGUUGAGUAGUCCGGAUGAGGCAUCUUCACUUACAUGGACUCAUUUCUCGUACAUGUUUUUGAGAGAGUAUGUCCCUCAGAGCCUCAGGGACUCAUGGCGCGCGGAGUUUGAGCAACUUCACCAGGGUGCUAUGACUGUGUCAGAGUAUGUAGUCUGCUUCAGUGAUUUGGCAUGACAUGCACCGCCUUGGUUGCCACAGUUAGAGAGAGGGUUCGAAGGUCUAUUGAGGGACUCCACCCCAGUAUCCAGAUUAGUAUAGCCAGGGAGUUGGAGAUGGAUAUCCCUUUUCAGAAGGUUAUGAGUAUUGCCAGGAGAUUGGAGGGAAUUCUUACCCGGGACCGAGAGGAGAAAGAGGCCAAGAGAUCUCGAGAGACUGGUUCUUACUCUGGAGCUCGUACCCCAGCAGCUCGCCAUGGUAGGGGUUAUGUGAGUCGCCAUGUUCAUUCAUCUCUUCCAGCCUCCAGUGGUGCUCCAGCUCCUUCUAGGCCUCAGGAGACUUAUUAUGCACCGCCAGUAUCUAGUGUGCCUCCUGCUCGGGGUGCUUUUAGCGUCCAGUCCAGCAGACCUGGCCCGAGUCAAUCGCAGCAGCCAUGCCCUCCGAGGGGUUAUUUUGAGUAUGGUGACAUCCUCCAUAUGGUGAGGGAUUGCCCCAGACUUAGGAGGGUUGCAGCUCCACAGAAUUCUCAGCCACCACAUGCUCCACCGGGUCCUCAGGCCAUGAUUCCAGCACUAGCUACCGCCCCACCUGCUCAGCCAGCUCGAAGUGGAGGUCGGGGAGGUCGAGUUCGCCCUAGAGGGGGAGGCCAGGCCAGGUAUUAUGCUCUUUUGCCCCGUACAGAGGCAAUUGCUUCCGGCUCUAUCAUUACAGGUAUUGUUCCCGUCUGUCAUAGAUAUGUGUCGGUAUUAUUUGACCUAGGAUUUACGUAUUCCUAUGUGUCCUCUUAUUUUUCCCUAUAUUUGGGCAUAUCUAGGGAUUCUUUGAGUUCCCCUGUUUAUGUGUCUACUCCUAUGGGAGAUUCUCUUGCUGUGGACCACGUGUAUCGGUCGUGUUUGAUUGCUCUUAGUGGUUUUGAGACCAGAGCUGAUUUAUUAUUGCUGAGCAUGGUAGAUUUUGAUGUUAUCUUGGGCAUGGACUGGUUGUCGCCCCAUUAUGCUAUUCUUGAUUGUCACGCUAAGAUUGUGACACUGGCUAUCCCAGGCUUACCGCGAUUAGAGUGGAUAGGUACCUUAGAGUAUACUCCCCACAGAGUUAUUUCAUUUCUUAAGGCUCAACGAAUGGUUGAGAAGGGGUGCAACGCGUAUUUAGCUUAUGUGAGAGAUGUCAGUAUUGAUACCCCAACAAUUGAGUCAAUUCCAGUAGUGAGGGAUUUCCCAGAUGUGUUUCCAGCUGAUCUUCCGGGCAUGCCGCCUUACAGAGAUAUUGAUUUCGGCAUUGAUUUGUUGCCGGGCACUCAGCCCAUCUCUAUUCCUCCAUACCGUAUGGCUCCUCCUGAGUUGAAGGAGCUGAAGGAGUUAAAGAAGCAGUUGCAGGAAUUGCUUGAUAAGGGCUUUAUUCGGCCCAGUGUGUCACCUUGGGGUGCUCCGGUCUUGUUUGUAAAGAAGAAGGAUGGUUCUAUGCGUAUGCGUAUUGAUUAUUGCUAGCUGAACAAAGUUACAGUGAAGAACAGGUAUCCAUUGCCUCGUAUUGAUGAAUUAUUUGAUCAGUUACAGGGUGCCAGAGUGUUCUCCGAGAUUGACUUACAUUCACGCUAUCAUCAGUUAAAGAUUCGGGAGCCAUAUAUCCCGAAGACUGCUUUCAGGACCCGAUAUGGUCACUAUGAGUUUCUUGUUAUAUCUUUUUGGCUGACCAAUGCCCCAUCAGCCUUUAUGCAUUUGAUGCACAGUGUGUUCUGGCCUUAUCUUGACUCCUUCAUCAUUGUGUUUAUUGACGACACUCUAGUGUACUCUCGGACUCAGGAGGAUCACGAGCAGCACUCGAGGACUGUGCUUCAGACUCUGAGAAAAAAAAGGUUGUAUGCAAAAUUUUUGAAGUGUGAGUUUUGGCUAGACUCAGUGGCAUUCUUGGAUCAUGUAGUAUCGAGUGAUGGGAUCAAGGUAGAUCCGAAGAAGGUGGAGGCAGUGCAGAGUUGGCCUAGACCGUCAUCAGCUACGGAGAUCCACAGUUUUCUUGGGUUGGCAGGGUAUUACCUUCGUUUUGUUGAGGGAUUAUCAUCUAUUGCAGCACCUAUGACCAGGCUGACCCAGAAGGGUGCUCCGUUCAGGUGGAUAGAGAAGUGUAACGAGAUCUUUCAGAAGCUCAAGACAGCUUUCACUACAGCCCAAGUUUUGGUAUUGCCUACAGGUUCGGGGUCCUUCACUGUAUAUUGUGAUGCAUCGCGAAUUGGUCUUGGCGCGGUGUUGCAGGAUGGUAGGGUGAUUGCCUACGCGUCCAGACAGCUGAAGGUGCAUGAGAAGAACUAUCAUGUCCACGACCUUGAGUUAGCAGCUAUUGUUCAUGUCCUGAAGAUUUGGCGCCACUAUUUGUAUGGUGUUCCUUGUGAGAUUUACAAUGAUCAUCGGAGUUUGCAGCAUAUGUUCAAGCAAAAGGAUCUUAAUUUGUGUCAGCGGAGGUAGUUGGAGCUACUUAAGGAUUAUGAUAUCACCAUUUUGUACCACCCGGGGAUGGCCAAUGUGGUGGCUGAUGCUUUGAGUCACCGGGCGGAGAGUUUGGGGAGUUUAGCAUAUCUUCCAGUAGCAGAGAGACCCUUAGCAUUGGAUGUUCAGGCCUUAGCCAGCCAAUUUGUGAGAUUGGAUAUUUCUGAGCUGAGUCGAGUGUUGGCUUGUGUGGUCUCUCGGUCUUCUCUUUAUGAUCGUAUCAAGGAGCGUCAGUAUGAUGAUCCCCACCUGCUUGUCCUUAAUGAAACGGUUCAGCACGGUGAUGCUAAGGAAGUCACCAUUAGGGAUGAUGGCGUAUUGAGGAUGCAGGGCAGGCUAUGUGUGCCUAACAUAGAUGGUUUGUGCAAGUUGAUUCUUUAGGAGGCUCAUAGAUCGCAGUACUCUAUUCAUACAGGUGUCGUGAAGAUGUAUCAGGACUUGAGGCAGCAUUACUGGUGGAGGAGAAUGAAGAAGGACAUAGUGGAGUAUGUGGCUCGGUGCCUAAAUUGCCAGUAGGUGAAAUGUGAGCAUCAGCGACCGGGCGGGUUGCUUCAGAAGCUAGAGAUUCCUGAGUGGAAAUGGGAGUGGAUCACUAUGGAUUUCUUUGUUGGGCUCCCACAGACUCAGCGGAGGUUUGAUGCGGUUUGGAUGAUUGUGGAUAGGCUGACCAAGUCAGCUCAUUUCAUUCCUGUGAUGACUUCAUAUUCUUCCGAGCAGCUGGCUCGAAUCUACAUCCGUGAGAUCGUCAGGCUUCAUGGCGUACCAGUAUCUAUCAUCUCUGAUCGGGAUACGCAGUUUACAUCACGAUUUUGGAGGGCCGUACAACAUGAGUUGGGUACUCGAGUGGAGCUGAGCACAGUAUUUCACCCUCAGACGGGCGGACAGUCCGAGCGCACUAUUCAGAUAUUAGAGGAUAUGCUCAGUGCUUGUCUAGUGGAGUUUGGAGGGUUGUGGGAUUAGUUCUUACCACUUGCAGAGUUUGCCUACAACAACAGUUAUCAGUCGAGCAUCCAGAUGGCACCGUAUAAGGCUCUGUAUGGUAGGCGGUGUCGGUCCCUAGUGGGUUGGUUCGAGUCGGGAAAGGCCAGAUUAUUGGGUACAGACUUGGUCCAGGAUGCCCUGGAUAGGGUGAAGGUGAUUCAGGAUCGACUUUGCAUAGCCCAGUCCAGACAGAAGAGUUAUGCAUACCGGAGGAUAUGCGAUGUAGCAUUCAUGGUUGGAGAGCGAGUCUUGCUUCGGGUAUCACCUAUGAAGGGCGUUAUGAGGUUCGGGAAGAAGGGCAAGUUGAGCCCAAGGUACAUUGGUCCUUUUGUGGUGUUGAGGCGUGUUGGGGACGUUGCUUAUGAGAUUACCUUGCCUCCCAGCCUUGCAGGGGUUCAUCUGGUAUUCCACGUUUCUAUGCUCCGGAAGUAUCACGUUGAUCCGGCUCAUGUAUUGGAUUUCAACUCAUGCCAAUUGGACAAGGAUCUAUCUUAUGUUAAGGAGCCAGUGGCUAUUUUGGGCAGGCAGGUCAGAAAGUUAAGGUCAAAGAACAUCGCUUCCGUGAAGGUGUAGUGGANNNNNNNNNNNNNNNNNNNNNNNNNNNNNNNNNNNNNNNNNNNNNNNNNNNNNNNNNNNNNNNNNNNNNNNNNNNNNNNNNNNNNNNNNNNNNNNNNNNNNNNNNNNNNNNNNNNNNNNNNNNNNNNNNNNNNNNNNNNNNNNNNNNNNNNNNNNNNNACUCGUUCGAGGAUGAACGAUUGUUGUAAUAGAGUGAGGAUGUGACUACCCGACUGGUCGUCUUGAGAGUUAUAGCCCCGAUUCCCUAUUAAUUGCUUUCCCCGUAUCCUUUUCUGUUAUUAUGACUUGUUCUGAAGUUUCGUUUUGGUUUUUGGAGUGUUUUGGGACACUUAAUCCCUAAAUGGAGACUUAUGUCUUAGGAUUUGGACCGUAGUCGGAACUAUGUGAAGAUGACUCUGGAAUAGAGUUUUAUUGGUUCUGUUAGCUCCGUUAGGUGAUUUUGGACUUAGGGGCGUUUCCGAAUAGUGUUUUGGAGGUCUGUAGCUCAUUUAGGCUUGAAAUGGCAAAGGUCGAAAUUUUGGAGAUUUGGACCGAUAGUGAAAUUUUGAUAUCGGGGUCGGAUUCCGAUUCCGGAAGUUGGAAUAGGUCCGUAGGAUUGAAUAUGACCUGUGUACAAAAUUUGGGAUCAAUCUGACGUUGUUUCGUUGGUUUCGUCAUCGGUUGUCGGAUUUGGAAGUUUCAAGUUCUUUAAGUUUAAAUUGGAGGGCGAUUCGUGAUUUUAGCGUUGUUUGAUGUGGUUUAAGGGCUUGACUAAAUUUGUAUGGUAUUUUAGGACUUGUUGUUAUGUUUGGUUGAGGUCCCGGCGGCCUCGAGGUAAUUUCGGAUGGUUAACGGAUUAUUUUGGACUUGUGGAAGAUAGCAGAUUUUCUAGUGCUUUGUUGCAGACUUUUUCUUCAUCGCAUUCGCGAGAGACGUCUCGCGAUCACGUAAGGCAUCUGAGAGGCCAGCUGAAGUUAUUCUUCCCAUUCGCGAAUAUGGGGACGCGAUCGCAUAGAUUGGUCAGGUUGUACAUCGCGAACGCGUGGGCUAGGCCGCGUUCGCGAAGAGGAAUUAAAGCAGAAGUGGAAUUCAAGUGUUAUUCUUCGCAAACGCGUAGGGUUGUUCGCGAUCACGUAAGUAUGAGAGCCACUGAAUCGUGUUCGCGUUGCAUUUUCCGCGUUCGCGUAGGGUUAAAUUCUGGGGCAAGGAAGUUGUGCUUCGCGAUCGCGAGGCUAUUUUCGCGAUCACCGUUAAGGAAUCACUGGGCAGUAUUAAACAUUUCAAAAACAAGGGUUUGGCCAUUUUUAUCAAAACAUGAGUUUGGGAACUCGGAUUUGGACAAGAGUUUGGGGGAUUUUCAGAGACAUCGAUUGGGUAAUGAUUCUACACUCUAUUUCUGUCAUAUCCCACUAAUCUAUCAUUAAUUUUAUCUUUAAUUUCGGAUUUUGGGAUUGAAAAUUUGGGGAGCAUUGGGAGAAGUUCUUCAACUAAAAUUUCGAGUUUUGAAAGGGGAUUCGUGGUCGGAUUUGAGUAAUUUUUAUAUGGUUGGACUCGUGAGUGAAUGGAUGUUCAUAUUGUGUGACUUUUACCCGAUUCCGAGACGUGGGCCCGUGGAGACAUAUUGGGGCGAUUUCCUAAUUUCUCGCUUUAGCUUAGAUUUCAUUUACUAGAUUAGUUUCUAUAGAUAUAUUUAUGGUAUGUAAUUGAAUUUGGCUAGAUUUGGGCCAUUCAGAGCUAGAUAUUCGUGGGAAGAGCAUUGCUACCGACUGAUUUAGCUUGGUUCGAGGUAAGUGGCUUGCCUAACCUUGUGUGGGGGAAGUCCCUUUAGGAUUUGGUGUUGAUUUUACUAUGUGGGCGUCGUGUACGCGAGGUGACGAGUGCGUACACGGACUAUUUGUUGAAAAACCUAAUUUUUACUGAGAAAUUCCUUGUUUCUACCUUAAUUGAAUAUACUGGCAUGCGUAGUUACCCUGUUAGCUUAGAAUAACAAGUCUACGUCCCUUAUUUGCUUAAUUGAACUCUUUCCAGCAUGCCUAUUGAAUUCAUGUUUCUUUCCCGACUUGUACUUAGUCUAGACUGUAGAUUAUCUUGAUGUACUUGUCGUUUGUAAUUGAUUGCACUGUGUAUUUACUUUGGGACUACAGGACGGUAUCCCGAGAGAUCCCCUGCAUAUUUACUUUUGAGACUACGGGACGGUAUCCAGGGAGAUCCUCUGCAUAUUUACUUUUGGGACUACGGGAUGGUAUCCAGGGAGAUCCCCCUGCAUAUUUACUUUUGGGACUACGGAACGGUAUCCCGGGAGAUCCCCCUGCAUAUUUACUUUGAGACUACGAGGCGAUACCUCGAGAGUUCUCCCUGCAUAUUUACUUUUGGGACUACGAGACGGUAUCUCGGGAGAUCCCCUGUUGCUUAAUUCCGUGCACUGUUAUGUUAUUUCACUGUGCUUUCCUUUGUUGAACUUUAGUCUCUUAUUAUAUUGCUUAUUCUCCUGUUUUUAUUAUUAUAUACCAGUGGGCAUAACCUAAACUCGUCACUACUUGACCGAGGUUAGGCUCGGCACUUACUGGGUACUGCUGUGGUGUACUCACGCCCUUUCCUGCACAUGUUUUUUUGGUGUGCAGAUCCAGGUUCCUUUUAACAGCCUCGUCCUUAGUUGCAGUCAUUGCUGUUUCGGAGAACUUCAAGAUAUAUAUGCCCGCGCCCGCAGAUCCUUGGAGCCCCCCUCUAUCCACCUAUGUUGAUUCUUCUCUUAUUUCUAUAAACACUGAUGUAUAGAACAGUUAGAACUUCGUAGAAGCUUGUGACUUACGGUGUUCCGGGCCUUGGGAGUGUCAUGUAUAUUUCGAGAUUUGAUUAUGUAUAUGCCUAACGGCAUCUCAAUUGUUUAUUAAAAUAUUUGUUACAGUUAUUGUUAAUUUUCAUGUUUUUCAUCUUAUUUCCGCAAGUGUUAGGCUUACCUAUUCGUAAAGACUAGGUGCAUGUCACGACGAUUCACGGAGGGAGAAUUUGGGUCGUGACAGAUUCAAGUGUGUGAACAUGAAACUACAUGAACCAGAUAGAAGAAUGUGUUCCAAGUGUAUGUCUAUUCUUCUAGUUUCAUUGUAGUAGGGCUUUUGAGUUGUACCUUUCAGCUUUCUCUAGAAGCAUUUGUACUAGGUACUCUAAGCGUAUUAUUCAAGUUAGAGUUAACUUGAAAUUGUCGCAACAACCUAAGGCUGGUUGCCAUAAAGGGUUAGAGGCAAUCAUUAGGUUUACAAGAGUUUUAUAAAUGCUGUUUUUGGCUUAGUGAUUUAGUGAAGUUUUGGAAAAAUUCCUACUGAAUAGUAGGUCGUGGUUUUUUCACCUUUUGAGUCAAGUGUUUUUCACGUAAAAAUACUUAGUGUUCUUUACUUUCUGCAUUUAUUAUUCUGCAAGUAUAGUAUAAGGAACACAUAGAAAAACGAGGUCCUUCUAUAAUUUGUGCACGCGAAAAAUUGGACAUUACACAAAUCACCCCUAUUAUGUAGUAUUGAAAUACAAAACAUCAUAUGGGCAACAACUAAAAAGGGAGAAUGGACCUCUAUGGUGUUAUUAUUGUGGUGUGGGCUGUCACGUUUUCAUACCUUUAAAGUGACGUAUUAGCAACACAUUUUGUAGGCAUCUAAUACAUAUAUUGGUAUUAUAUUAAUUAGUUGUAACAAGCCUUCAGUGAAAGCCAUUCAAGACAAAUGGGAGAGGGGUCAUAUUGGGGACAUAAUAACGCCGAGACCAAGCAUUGUCUUGGUCAUUUCUUUGACUGAUGAAAAGGCAGCAACACUGGUUGCCUCUCCGUCUCUUUUGGCAACGAGAGUAAGUAUUUUGCGGUGAAGAACAAGCUGAAGAAUAAGCUGCUCCUAGUCUCAAAGGAACGCAAAAGAUCAAAUUGGAAAAUCUCAAGAAAUCUUCACGGACUCUAAAGAGAGAAAAUUUCUAGAGUUACACAAGAGAGGCAAUUUUACUACUCCGAUUUAAAUUAAAGUACUCAAAUAUGAUUGCGGAGUAUAUCUUAAAGUGGGAUUUAUGAUGUAAACAUGGUAACCAAGUAACCCUAAAAGUAGGUCUUGUGAAAGAGAUGAUGAAUAGUACCUAAGGCUAGGGAGUAAUGUGGAUUAUUGUUCCAAUAGCUCUAGCUAAUUGGUUAUAAACACCUCGUGUGGGUGAUAAAAUGAACUCUAUUACAGUAGUAAUCAGAAUCAUGGGAAUUGGAUGACCUUGAGCCUAUUGCGACCCCUAAAUGGGUUAUGAUGAAAUUGUUUGAAUACUAAUUGACGGAAUCCGAUAUCGAAUAUUGUAAUUGAUAUAACUUGCGCAUGUUGGGCUUGUUGGACUUAUUUGGAAGGCAAAGACAUGGUAAGUUAAGAUGUACCUUCCCUUAAGAAUUAUUUGAUGAAUUCUAACAUUUGCUAAAGUUAUUUUAAAUGUUGGUUUGGGUUCGUUAGAGUGAUCGGCACUUACCAUUCAUGCUUUAACAUUAUGAGACGUCUUAUGCUAUCUUAUAGUAUCAUAUAUGCAUAAAUUGUAUUGUUGGUCCUUUAUUAACUUUUAUUGAAUGAUAGCACUUAAACCCAUAUUUUUCUACUUGAUUUAAAUCAAAUAGUUAUCACAAAUAUUGAAACUCAUUAUCUUAUGAUUUUACCGCUAUCGAGAUAUUUUUUUAAAAAUUGUCUUGCCGAAGUCAAAGAAACUUUAUCAAAGUAUAGAAUUGAGCUAUGGACCGUGAGAGCCAAUUAUCGAAAAUAGGGCCUACGGGUUAUACAAUUUAAAGAAAAUAUUAUUGGGAGGGCCAUAUUUAUUAUUGCGUAUAGACCACACAUUUCAGUGUUUACCAUAUAUUUUCCAAUGAGACAUCUUACUGUGUUAGCACUAUCGUCAAAAUCCCAUAGCAAUAGGUGAGACGGCCUCGUGACCGGGCGAUGGUUAAUAUCAUCAAAAUCUUAUAGAAAUGGGUGAGACGACCUCGUGACCAGGCGAUGGUCACUAUCAUCGAAAUCCCAUAGCAAUGGGUGAGACCGCCUCAUGAUCGGGCGAUGGUUACUAUCAUCAAAAUCCCAUAACAAUGAGUGAGACGGCCUCGUGAUUAGGUGAUGGUUACUAUCACCAAAAGCCCAUAGCAAUGGGUGAGGUUGCCUCGUGACCAAGCGAUGGUUACUAUCGUCAAUAUCCUUCGAGUGAGACGCCCAGGUUGACCGGGGAUAGUCAACAUACAAAUAUCGAUUAUUGUUAUAGUUAUCACUAUUGGAACUCUCUAUUGAAAGAUUUGCAUCCUAAUUACAACCUAUUAAAAGAUUUACAUCUUAUUGAAAGAUUACAUUAUAUUAAAAGAUUUACAUCAUAUUGAAUGAUUACAACCCAUUAAAAGAAUUAUAGCCUAUUGAAUGAUCUACAGUCUAUUCAAAGGUUUACGGCCUAUUGAAAUAUUUUCUCUAUUGAAAGAGUUACAUUUUAUUAAAUAUUUAUUUUCAUUAUUGAUUUUAUGAAAUGUCAUACUUAUUGUACUUUAUGUAUUCUACGUAUCCCUAAAGUAUCGUUCCAACCUUAUCGGAAGGAGUCAAUAAUACUUACGGGGUACGAUUUCUAUGAAAUUGUGCUCAGCCUCCCAUGUGGGGCAACUUAUUUGAUGUUUCAGAUAUUGUGACAUUAGUGUUGACAACACAUGCUAGGCGUCUUCUCCGUUCUCUGCUAUACUUGGUAAGCUCCGUUUAUUUUUUCAAUGGGUCUAUGUCUAGAGAUUUUAUUAUGUUCAGUUAAUCUAUAGAUGUUUGAUCACGCUCAACUAUGCCUUAUAAAAAGAACUAAGUGGUCGCUGCAAAACUAAUCCGGUUCAAGAUUCCAGAGUCGAAUCCCAUAGGGAACUAACCUAUUUGCUACAACUUUUCAGUAUUUCUAAUGAUAAGCUUAGACAACUUUUAGAGUUCAAGAUUUGAUUUGUGAAUUAAUAAAAAUUACUUAACUAAGAAAAAAUGACAAUAAAAACUAUCAACUAGCAAGAUAGCAAGAUUUUCCCAAUUGCCAGAUUAAUUCAUGAUACGUUAGCUAUAAUCUCGCCGCAACACUCUAACGAUGACGAGUUCUUAUUUAUCGCAAUUAUCUCUCGAUCAAUUACGAAAAUGUACUAGAAGUAUUCUCUCGGACUACUCUAGCUGACAACUCGUACAACUCAUAAAUACCGCACUAAAAUUUCGUUAUCUCUAAUCCCGUUUUUAAAUUUAAUUAAUUAAUCUCUUAACUUACUCGAAAGUGGCGUUGUUCAAUAACAAUAUAAUAAAGCGUUCUCUCUCAAGAAACACAAGAUAACUAGACACGGAUAAUCAAGAGCCCUUCAAUCAACCACAAGAAACACAUUGUUGAAUAAUUAAAAAGUAAAAACGGUCAAUUAUAUCAAAAUGCAAUCAAGACUUCAUCCAAUAAUUGGUUCCAUCAAUCCUAGAUGAUGGGUUUAGAUACUCAUAACUUUGUAAAUAAUCAUAGUAAUAUAUAAAAGCAUUAAACUACAAAUUAAAGGAAAGCGAAGAGAAAAACUCGAGUGAUUCGUGCUUCCAAAGUGUUAUGUAGCCUCUUGCCUCUCUAAUGAUGUCUAACCCUUCAAAAGCUAACUUUAAGAUGUAUUUAUAGGGUAAGGCCCGAUGUUUACAUGUUCAAAAAUAGUGAGGAAUUAAAAUUGGCUCAGAUAGCAUCGUCGGCAUGAGGCACUGUCAGAGGCACCAAUGUUUCUGUGCGAGGCACUGUCUGGGGCGCCAAUGAAUCUGCACGAGGCACUGUCUGGGGCGCCAGUGACAAUGUCCUGGACAAUGCCUUGCACUGUUUAUGGCCAUUACUUUUUAUUGUCUUGCACGUCUUCUUUUAUUGCUCCAUUUUAUAGCUCUGAGGUACCAUUUCGUACAAAAUUUCUCCAAUUUAUGUCCAAGCAUUCCUACACGUGAAAUAAGCUCUAUUAAGCUCAAUUGUCGCAUAAAUUAGCAUCCAAACAAUAAACAAGUAGGGUAAAUAAUGUCAAAAUAUAUGGAAUUAUAGCACGACAUCAACACCCCACUCUUAAAUUUUGCUCGCCCUCGAGUCAACCAACGAAACACUUCCUUUUCAAGGACCCCACAAGCCCCGCAUUCACCGCAUAAUACACAUAUUGUUGCGACCAAACACACUCACGCAAGUAUACGCGGUCGUCAAGUAAUAAAGUGACUAAAAGUCGGAUGUCGAACCCACGAGGACUUAUGAUUAGCUAUUAACUAAAUUAGACUAUCCUAAUUAUUUAAACAAGAAUUAAAUCUAAAAAUAUUUUAUUCUAACUAAUUAAAUAAGAAAAAUAUAAAUAAUAAACUUUGAACAGAGAAAGAGCAGAUUUUAAUGAUAUCAAUGUAAUGAAAACGAUCUAGGGUUAUG